rnacentral:rRNA from 1 species
UACGGAGGGGGCAAGCGUUGUUCGGAAUUACUGGGCGUAAAGCGUGCGCAGGCGGCUUCUCAAGUCAGGGGUGAAAGCCCAGAGCUCAACUCUGGAAUUGCCUUUGAGACUGAGUGGCUUGAGUACGAGAGAGGUGAGUGGAAUUCCCAGUGUAGAGGUGAAAUUCGUAGAUAUUGGGAAGAACACCGGUGGCGAAGGCGGCUCACUGGCUCGUAACUGACGCUCAUGCACGACAGCGUGGGGAUCAAACAGG